rnacentral:rRNA from 1 species
AAACCAGCACCUCAAGUGGUCAGGAUGAUUAUUGGGCCUAAAGCAUCCGUAGCCUGCUCUGUAAGUUUUCGGUUAAAUCUGUACGCUCAACGUACAGGCCGCCGGGAAUACUGCAGAGCUAGGGAGUGGGAGAGGUAGACGGUACUCGGGAGGAAGUGGUAAAAUGCUUUGAUCUCUCGAUGACCACCUGUGGCGAAGGCGGUCUACCAGAACACGUCCGACGGUGAGGGAUGAAAGCUGGGGGAGCAAACCGGAUUAGAAACCCGAGUAGUCC